rnacentral:ncRNA from 2 species
GAAGGCAGACUGUGAAGACUGCUGGAGCGCUUAGAAGUGAGAAUGCCGGCAUGAGUAACGAAAAGGCAGGUGAGAAUCCUGCCCGCCGCAAGACUAAGGUUUCCUGGGGAAGGUUCGUCCGCCCAGGGUCAGUCGGGACCUAAGAUGAGGCCGAAAGGCGUAGUCGAUGGCUAACAGGUGGAGAUUCCUGUACCGAUCUAUUAUGUUUGAGCGAAGGAAGGACGCAGGAGGCUAAGGUGAGCACGCAGCUGGAAAAGCGUGUCCAAGCACUGAGUCUGGGAGCGAGUCAAAUGCUUGUUCCUAAGGACAAGGUGUGAUGGGGAGCGAAAUUAAGUAGCGAAGCACCUGAUGUCACACUGCCGAGAAAAGUUUCUAGUGAGUAAUAGAUCGCCCGUACCGCAAACCGACACAGGUAGUCGAGGAGAGUAUCCUCAGGCGCGCGAGAGAACUCUCGUUAAGGAACUCGGCAAAAUAACCCCGUAACUUCGGAAGAAGGGGUGCUGACCGGAAGGUCAGCCGCAGUGAAUAGGCCCAAACAACUGUUUAUCAAAAACACAGGUCUCUGCCAAAUCGAAAGAUGACGUAUAGGGGCUGACACCUGCCCGGUGCUGGAAGGUUAAGAGGAUGAGUCAGCGUAAGCGAAGCCCAGAAUUGAAGCCCCAGUAAACGGCGGCCGUAACUAUAACGGUCCUAAGGUAGCGAAAUUCCUUGUCGGGUAAGUUCCGACCCGCACGAAAGGUGUAAUGAUUUGGGCACUGUCUCAACGAGAGACUCGGUGAAAUUAUAUUACCCGUGAAGAUGCGGGUUACCCGCGACAGGACGGAAAGACCCCAUGGAGCUUUACUGUAGCUUGAUAUUGAGUGUCUGUACCGCAUGUACAGGAUAGGUAGGAGCCGUAGAAACCGGGACGCUAGUCUCGGUGGAGGCAUUGGUGGGAUACUACCCUUGCAGUGCGGCCACUCUAACCCGCGCCACUAAGCGUGGCGGGAGACAGUGUCAGGCAGGCAGUUUGACUGGGGCGGUCGCCUCCUAAAAAGUAACGGAGGCGCCCAAAGGUUCCCUCAGAAUGGUUGGAAAUCAUUCACAGAGUGUAAAGGCAUAAGGGAGCUUGACUGCGAGACAGACAGGUCGAGCAGGGACGAAAGUCGGGCUUAGUGAUCCGGUGGUACUGAAUGGAAAGGCCAUCGCUCAACGGACAAAAGCUACCCUGGGGAUAACAGGCUUAUCUCCCCCAAGAGUCCACAUCGACGGGGAGGUUUGGCACCUCGAUGUCGGCUCAUCGCAUCCUGGGGCUGAAGUUGGUCCCAAGGGUUGGGCUGUUCGCCCAUUAAAGCGGUACGCGAGCUGGGUUCAGAACGUCGUGAGACAGUUCGGUCCCUAUCCGUCGCGGGCGUAGGAAAUUUGAGAAGAGCUGCCCUUAGUACGAGAGGACCGGGGUGGACAUACCGCUGGUGUACCAGUUGUGCCGCCAGGCGCAGAGCUGGGUAGCUAUGUAUGGCAGGGAUAAGCGCUGAAAGCAUCUAAGUGUGAAGCCCCCUUCGAGAUGAGAUUUCCCAUUCCUUUAAGGAAGUAAGACCCCUGAGAGAUGAUCAGGUAGAUAGGCUGGGAGUAGCAGCCCCGUGAGGGGUGGAGCGGACCAGUACUAAUCGGUCGAGGACUUAACCAA